UACGUAGGGGGCAAGCGUUGUCCGGAUUUACUGGGCGUAAAGAGCGUGUAGGCGGCCAAGCAGGUCCGUUGUGAAAACUGGAGGCUUAACCUCCAGACGUCGACGGAAACCGCGUGGCUAGAGUCCGGAAGAGGAGAGUGGAAUUCCUGGUGUAGCGGUGAAAUGCGCAGAUAUCAGGAAGAACACCUAUGGCGAAGGCAGCUCUCUGGGACGGUACUGACGCUGAGACGCGAAAGCGUGGGGAGCGAACAGG
rnacentral:rRNA from 1 species